ensembl:lncRNA
GAAAAAAAUAAAAAACUGUGUGUGUGCAAUCAAGAAGUUCGUUCUGAAGUUCAGUUUCAGACUAAGGUUUUUUAGGUUAAACAAAAUGUAUUGUUUUCAUUUGACGAAAAUGAAAUAUAUUUUAUUUAUAAUUUAUGGAUGCCCUGAGGAUUCUUUUGCCUCAGUCUAUCACAGGCUUCUACUUCCUCAAGUGAGAGAGAAAAAAAUUUAACAGCAACAUGCAGCACUGAAAAAAAGACAAGACUUUUUCCACUGCAAUUUCACGUGGAUAUAAAAAUAGUUUAUAUAUAUACACUCUCUCUCUCUCUCUCUCUCUCUCUCUCUCUCUCAUGAUGAGUUACAGUAAGUAUCCAAAUACUUUCUCUUAUUUAGGCUAUAACCUCUUGACUGGUUAAAUUGUCUUAAAUUAUUUGUAUGUUAAGCAACUGAAAAGUGGAAAAUUCUCUAGAAAACUUACAUUUCUGAGGAACAUAUUUUAAUUUCACCAUCUUGUGCAUGAGGCUUAUAAUAUCACAUUAAACUGCCAACACUGUUUCCAUAAGAUAUAUCUCAACAUUUUCUAAAUUUGAGAUGUUAAUGAACUCACUUUAAUAAAUAUGAUUUUUAACCAUAUAAUUUUACUGAUAAUGUUAAAAAUGAUUGAAUAAGAGUUGAUAAAAUAUCUAAAAUAAACGAAUGAAUAAAUCAUUAAACUGCAAACGACCCUGCAACAUUAUUUGUGCUUUGGGGUCACUUUGCAUCAGAAAAAAAAGAAAAAAAAAAAAAAAAAAAAGCAUCCAGACAAAUGCAAAUAGAGUGGCAGCAGUUUACAGCUGCUCAUUUUCAAACAAGUUGUUUUCCUUUAGAAUAUCUUUGAUGUAAUUAUUUAUCAUAAAAUUAUAAGUCAAAGAAUAAUUUUGUUAAUAAGAAUUACCUGACAGGCAGCUCUAUCCUCUCUCUCUCUCUCUCCUCCCUCCUCUGUUCAGCAGCAUGUCAGAGUCUGUGGGAUGGAGUUACAGCGCAUUUCUUUCCAUCUGGAUGCUGCUCUGAGCACCUUUAAUGAAGAGAGCCACGUCUCUCCAAACUUCACAAGACCCCUGACUGUCCAACACACACCUCCAGCGGAACAAAGCCGUUUUAAAAGUAACUUUCCCGAAAAUAGCUACACAAGCAAGCCAGGACGUCCAAACAGACCUUUACACAGCCAGAGCAUGAAGCUCCAGUGCGUUUCUCUUCUCAUUUGUGCUUUACUCAUUGGCGAGUGCUGCGGGUCUCGUCUGGACCGCUGGGUCCGAACUGGACUUCAGUACAUGAAGCUCAACCUGUGCCGGAGGGUCUCUCUGCCGGAGAGCGAGUGCAAGAAGCUGUCCCACCUGCACCUGAGCGGGGUAGUGGUGUACGUGACCGAGUCCGGCUCGGGGAAAGUGCUGGCGAUCCUGCCGGACUCAUACUCGAGCGGUGCGCUGCAGUCCAAGCAGAGCGGCUUCUCUGCGGACGCGAGCGCGGAAGAUGAGCGCAGGGCGAACGAAGAGCUGUACCCGGGCGCGAGUGCGCAUGACGCCGUGCUGCUGCUGGACCCCAGCCCCGGCGAGAGCUUCGGACACCCGGUGGUCCUGUUCUAUGUGGACUUCAACACAACCAAGAAGAAAUGUGCUCAUAUGGACGGCAUUUAUCUGGGGGAGGAGUGCUUGACGAUGGCUGUGAAGACACGUUGCCAGAACCAGCUGAAGCGGAGGAGGAGUCGCAGUGACCGUAUGGCGAGCCGGGCGAGGGCCCGCAGGAGCACAACGGGCAGAACCGGCCGAGCGGAGCACAGCAGCGGCCUCUGUGAGAUUCACUUUCUCCCUCUUGUUGUGGGAGUGAAAGAUAGCAACCGAACCCAGCGCCUGCACUGUGUAGAUCACCCAGACUUUGCCAGAUGCCCACAGCCUUUGCCCCUGACCAGUCCCAGCACACCCAUCUCCAGCUGUGAGCUCAAUAAAAACACCCGGCGGUGCCAUCAGCAACGCCUGGCCACACACCUGUCCUGCCGCCUCUACCAGACCUGUGAUCAUGCUGUUCUCCUGUCAGGUGGCUGGCAGGAGCAGAUAACAUACCAACUACAUGCAAAGAACCUGCAGCUCUUCGACCAGAUGCUGAGGAACAACGGCUUCGAUAAGGACCACAUAAAGACAUUCUUUGCUGGGAAUGGACAGGUAGCAGCUAAAGCCACUGAGGGGAUGUAUCCAGCCACAGAGAAAGAGGUGAUCAGGAAUCACAUUUCCUACAUCUGCCGGAAGCAGCACUGUGUGGAUUCUCUGGUUCUGUACCUGAACAGCCCCACACGCAACGACGGCACCAUGCUGCUCUGGGACCGCAAUAACAACGGCAUUGCAGAUCUGAAGGAGCGUUACUCUGUGGGCGAACUGAUGGCGGAUCUGGCCGGAUGCAGGGCCAGUCGGGUGCUGCUCUUUGUGGAGCAGAGCUACAGUGGAGUCCUCAGCAAGAGACUGAUGGGAUCUCUCAAACACGUCAAUGUCGUGCUGCUGAACGGACUGCCCUGGGUGCACACAGCUGAGUUCUGGGCCUCUCUGCACCCAUCAGAGUGCCUCAUAGACCACCUCAGUAAGCACAGUUCUGCGAUGCCCCGACUGGCUGAUGCUGCUCUGGGACUGAUGAACGUGACACUGGCCGGGGCUCCGUGCAACUCCACCCCUCCUCUCACCGAAGCCGAAAUGAGGAAGGAGUACAUGGGCUGCCAGAACCUCCCCACAGCUCUGUGGUACCAAAAACGGCCCAAGACCGUCAACAGCAGGAAUUGAGCAAACUGACCGCUUCCAGGACUUUCAGAAGGACAAGAGCCAACUCUACUGUUCCCAAUACGUAAUUCUGACACUCCAGUGGAGUACUUCCAUGAAAAACAAGUACCAACGAGUAGUCCUAGAAGUAUGACUUUGUAUAAUGCACAAACUUCAAAUCCAUGACCAGCGCUUUCCUCUCACAAACACCCCUGUGUGUGCGCACUUAAUUCACCCGGUGAUGCACAUAGACCCUGACAAGCUGUUGAGGAACGGAGACUACAUAAUGUGUGCUUAAGAGAUCGACAGAAGAGGCGGUAAUGCAGGACAGAGAGAGAGAAAGCGUCUGACAUGUCCUCACUUUGAACCUCAUUUCCCCUGCUUGCUGCUCCGUAGAAGGCGUCCCGUGGGGAGCGUCCCAUGCAAACUUCUCCUCUCUCUGCCUGCCGUGGGGGUUCAGCGCAGGGGCAUCCACGCUCCUUUACCUGAGUGCUCUUCCGUGGGUCAUCGCACAGGGCGCGCCUGGAACUGAACAAUGGUGACAAGGCCACUCUGAAACACACCUCACACUCACUUGAACAUUUCAGGACAAAUCUCCUUGUCCCUCCUUCAGCUCAGUAAGGGACAGGGCGGUCCAGCAUGAUUUAGUAAUGAGAAAUGUUCCCUCACCACGUCUGGACUCUAGCAGACACUGGGCUCAGCAAGCAUGUAUUUAAGUCAGACCUUUUAUUCCACACUGUACUAACCACUCUGUCCGCAGUAUUCGCUUAUCUCCGCAAACAUUUAAUCGCCAGCCGCUGAUAAUGUUGACAGUGAUGAGAAGGUAUUUCAGGCCCCACGCCAGCUCCUGUGGGAAUUCAUACACAUUCUUCAGAAAUUACAGACAGUAGGACAAUAUUUUUCUGCAGUGCAUCUACUUGCUCAGAAAUAUACGCUCUCAUUCAAAAGUUUGGGGUUAGUACGAUUUUUUAAAUGUUUUUUAAAGAAGCAAGUCUCUAAUGUUCAGGAAGGCUGCAUUUAUUUGAUCAAAACAGUAAAAAGAGUGAUAUUUGGAAAUAUUCUUACAAUUUAAAAUUACAUUUCCAUUUUAAAAUAUUUUAAUCCUUUUAAAAAUUGAUUUUUAUCCUUCAGAAAUCAUUCUUAUAUGCUGGUUUGGUGCUCGAGAAACAUUUAUCAUCAUCAAACAUUUAUUAUUAUUUAUUACAAUAUUUUUGUGGAAACCGUGAUGCAUUUUUUUCAGAAUUCUUUGAUGAAUAAAAAGUAGAGCAUUUAACA